CCUGGUGGUAGAGUUCAGUUGUUAUUAUUAUUGUUGUUGUUUUUUUCGUUGCUUUCUUUUUUUAUGGAUAUAUAAGUUCACAAGGCUUAAGUUUUUUAGGAGUAUAAAGGACGGCAAAAGGUUGCCGCAAUUUUUAUUAGACGAAGAAAAAAAUAAAAAAGACAAAUGCCAACCUAGUUUUUUUUAAUAAAAACUAGGCUAAAAUCGUA
rnacentral:lncRNA from 1 species